GAUGAACGCUGGCGGCGUGCUUAACACAUGCAAGUCGAACGAGAAGUGGAGACGGAAACCUUCGGGCGGAAGACUUUACUUCGAGUGGCGGACGGGUUAGUAACGCGUGGGUAACCUGCCUCAUACAGGGGGAUAACAGUUGGACACGACUGUUAAUACCGCAUAAGACCACAGCACCGCCUGUUGCGGGGGUUAAAACUCCGGUGGUAUGGGAUGGACCCGCGUUCGAUUAGCCAGUUGGCGGGGUAACGGCCCACCACAGCGACGAUCGAUAGCCGAGAAGAGAGGAUGACAGGAGACAUUGGGACUGAGACACGGCGGAAAAUCAUACGGGAGGGAGGAAAGGGGAAUAUAGCAAAAUGGGGGAAGGGCAGAAGGAGCGACGACGGGAGAGUGAAGAAGUAUGGCGGGAAGUAAAGCAAUAUAAGAAGGGAAGAAAAUGACAGUACCAGAGUAAGAAGCACCGGCUAACUACGUG
rnacentral:rRNA from 1 species